rnacentral:pre_miRNA from 1 species
GAUUUCAAAUGGUAAAGCCAUAAACAUCAAAGUUGUACAACUUAUCAAGAUCUACAACUUUUAUUUUGGUCACUUCUUCAUCCGACAAAGUGAUAGUACCAAUGUUUACAAAAUUGACAUAUCUGUGUUGAUGUUUAUAAACCAGAUGAGAGAAAUGUGAUUUUUGUGAAUAAUAUAACUAUCACUUUGUCAGAUGAAGAAGUGACCAAAAUAAAAGUUGUAGACAUUGAUAAGAUGUGCAACUUUGCUGUUUAUGGCUUUUCCAUUUGAAAUC